rnacentral:rRNA from 1 species
UACGAAGGGGGCUAGCGUUGCUCGGAAUCACUGGGCGUAAAGCGCACGUAGGCGGAUUGCUAAGUCAGGGGGUGAAAUCCUGGAGCUCAACUCCAGAACUGCCUUUGAUACUGGCGAUCUUGAGUCCGGGAGAGGUGAGUGGAACUUGCGAGUAUAGAGGUGAAAUUCGUAGAUAUUCGCAAGAACACCAGUGGCGAAGGCGGCUCACUGGCCCGGUACUGACGCUGAGGUGCGAAAGCGUGGGGAGCAAACAGG